ACGCUCGACACCUAGGGAGGUAGCAGUGGGGAAUAUUGCACAAUGGAGGAAACUCUGAUGCAGCGAUGCCGCGUGAGGGAAGAAGGUUUUCGGAUUGUAAACCUCUGUCUUUGGGGACGAUAAUGACGGUACCCAAGGAGGAAGCUCCGGCUAACUACGUGCCAGCAGCCGCGGUAAUCUGAGCGGGCUGGCAAGGC
rnacentral:rRNA from 1 species